GGGCAGAACAACGCCCUCUCAUGAAACAUCCUCGUAAUCUCUAUCACUAUUUCUGUCUUCUUCUUGAGAGACAGAAACUCAUGUGUCAAUUGUGUUGGAUAAGGUGUCUAAGUCCAUAACUAUUUCGGGCUUGUACUUGACCCGACCCGGCAUGGUCCAUUUGGGUUGCAUGGCACCAUGCAAUUGGAUAGACUAAAUGAGAGAAAUAACACUUGGAGAUUAUUAAUAUAUUAUAAGUUCUAAUAUAUUAAUAAUAUUAUUUGAUUAGUUGAUCAAAGAAUUAAUUUGGAAUUAAUUAAGUGAUCAAAGGAUAACUAAUUAAAUAUAUGGGUUGAUUAUGUAAAUCAUCCAUAUCUUGUAUAGUGGGCUAAGAGGCUCCAUGGAUUAUCAAGUUGGGUUCUACCCAUAGGAUGCUCCAUGGAUGCUCCAUGGGAGUUACAAACCCAUGGGUCAUGGAAAUGAAGAGUCAUGACACAUUAGGGUUUACAUGGUGUAACCCUAGAUGUGCCAACACUAUAUAAGAGUCCCAUUCUCCACAAAAUUGGCUACACAAGUUGAACACUAAGAAACUAGAGGGCUUGGCCGAUUUUGAGAAGUGUGUGUUAUCUCAAGAGUCUUUCCAAGAGCAUUUGGUGUUGUGUGAAGCAUUUGAGGCAUCACACUUGGGGUGCUAGGCUCACAAGGUUUCAAGGAACACAAGCAACAACAAGGUAAGUUAUUCUAUCUAUGAUUCAAGUUAAAAUUGUUCCCCAUGUAUGCUAGAUAGGAAUAUAACCUUGGAAUUCAACUUUGCAUGAUAAUUAGACAAACAUAGAUCCAAGGUUAUUAGGGUUGCAUGUACACUUAGGAAGUGUUAGAAUGCUCAAAACCCAUCAGUGGUAUCAGAGCCUAGGCUUGUUUGUUUGUUAUUUGUGCUUAAAAGUUGAAGAAAGUCGAAAAUUCUGCUGUCUGACUGAUGGACUCGGCGAGUCCAUGGGGAGGACUCGUCGAGUUCAUGUGUAUCUUCAACCUACUCGGCGAGUAGGUUUAUGCACUCGGCGAGUAGGGUCGACAGAGUGCAGAAUUUCGACUUGAGUUGCUGGAAAUGGAUUAGAAUCAUUACCCUAAAAUGUUUUGGUACUUGAAAACUUAUUUUAGAAGGUGUAAUGUCUUUUCUAACUCAUUUACAACAACUAGUUAUCAAAAUUACAAAGAUUAAAUGUGAUUUUGAUUCUUGAAAGUGUUCAUAUUCAUAUUCUUGUUCUUAUGAUGUUUAGAUGAUCAUAGGAAUUAUUUGUAACCUAUGUGGUAGAUUAAUUCAUGAUCAUAAUGUGUUUUAAUGGAGUCCAUAACUUGUCCUCAAGUUAUGGAAAACCAAAAGUCUCUUGGAUUAAAAACCAUUAAAAGAACACAAGAGUUAGGAAAAAUGAAAAGUCCUCAUUUUAUUACUCUAUUAAACUCAUAAGUUACAAGAAAUGAAAAGUUUUGAAAGUUUACAAAACUUGCCCUCAAGUUUUGGAACAAGUAAAGUUAAGUUAAAACUUUAGUUCCAACCCCUAGAAUUUUAAAAGUUAAAAUUCAACCCUUAUACUUAUAUUAUUAUGAUUUAAUAAUUAUAUAUAUAUGUAUAAGAACAAAGUCGUCUUACCGCUAGUACGCCUCAUUCACGAAGCCGGUCUAUAAGGUGGGUAUAAGGUUGUUGCCUAUAAAAUGGUGACUUAAUGGGUGUCCACUCUCACCCACCGCUUGCUUGAUCGGUGGAGGGUCGUUAGCCGAACGGGUAAGACAAGGACUUAUUAAUUCUCAUUCAAAGUAUGAUGAAUAUUAUAAAGUAACUAAAUGUUUUAUUAAAUUCCCAAUCUUAGUUACUUUAGGAAAAAUGUGAAUAAGGUGCUAUUCCAUGAAAUUACACUUUACACUUUGAUUAAGUCGUUGGUGGAGCGUGUGUGGUUAACCGGCACACUAACUUGGACUUAACAAGGUAGGUAAAGGGUGACUUAGGGUUUAUUAUAGUAUCGAUGGAGCGUGUGUGGUUAACCGGCACAUCGAUUGAGUGAUAAACUUUAAGGGUACCAAGUGAUUUGCAUGGUUACUUCACACCUCGUUUUGUGAUCCUCGGUAUCCCAGUCACAAAACUUGGAGGGCACACUCGAGAUUGAAACAUGCCUUUGAAAAGUUCAUUGAAUCUCAAAGAAUCUAGGAAUUUCUAAGAACCAUUCAAAAACCUAAUACUAAAAUAUUGCGGUUUUCGUGGUGGAAAUUGGUGAAUCGUCAUUCACCUACCUUUCAAAUAUGAUAUAGCUUAGAUUACGGCAUACCUCUUCUAAGUUAUAUUAUAUUGUGAUUGGAUCCUAGCCUUAAUAUUACAUUUGGGUGUUUUAUUAAGGACUCUCUUAUAUCUAAACUAAUCUUGUCCUCUUUCCUUCAGAUGUCUUUCAACAAUGCUUCUGGCUCUAAUCCUAAUGGCUCCUUUACCCUUAUGAACUUGUGUGGGAAAGUCACCUUUGAUGGAUCCAACUUCAAUGAGUGGAUCAGAAACAUCAGGAUGAUUACCCGCUACGAGGACAAAGAAUAUGUCCUUGACAAGGAGCUUAAGGAGAUUGAUGAGUCCACUGCAACUCCUCAGGAGAUCGCUGAAUUUCGGGCACAUGAAAGGGAUGCUACGAAAGUGGCUUGCAUCAUGAUGGCCACGAUGACAGCGGAACUCCAAAAGUCUUAUGAGGAUUUCUACCCUUAUGACAUGCACCAAGAUUUGAUGGAAAGAUACCAUCAAAGUGCAAGACAAGAGAGGUAUGAAAUCAUCUGCUCCAUGAUAACAACCAUGAUGAAGGACGGGGAAUCCGUCACGAGCCACAUGCAGAAAAUGCAAAGGUAUGUGGAUCGUUUGCUGAAGCUUAAUGUGAACUUCCCGGAGGAUCUUGCAAUAGAUAUUAUUUUGCAUUCCUUACCAUCGUGCUAUGAUCAAUUCCGCAUGACAUAUCACAUGAACAAGGAAGAAGUCACCCUCAGCAAACUUCAGGGACUUCUCAAGACCGCAGAAACAGGUCUUAAGGGGAAGUCGGUUGCUAUCACUCCUACUCAAAACUCUACUCCGGUUUUGGCAAUCGGGAAAAGUCGAGGGAGGAAGAGAAAGAGCUCUUCUAAGGGUACCAAGGCUCGGACCCUUGAUGGCUCUUCUUCAAGUGGAACCAAGAAAGGUUUCGUUACUCCUUCUUCUGACCCAAAAGAGGCUGAAUGCUUCUAUUGCCAUGAAAAAGCUCAUUGGAAGCGGAACUGCCCAAAAUACCAGCAAGAUGUGAAGGAUGGGAAAGUUAAACCCAACCAUGCAGGUAUUUACACUAUCAUUUCUAAUAACUCACCCCAUUCUAAUUCUUGGGUCCUUGAUACCGGGUGUGGUAUUCACAUUUGUUGUGACUUGCAGGGACUAAGAAGAAGUGAGGAUGUGGAGCAAGGAAGGAUAAACUUGAUCAUGGGGAAUAGGAAAGCUAUACCUGUUACCAAGAUUGGAGUUUAUACUUUAUCGCUAAGUAGUGGGUUUAGUUUAGAUUUGAAUAAGUGUUGUUAUUCGCCAGGAAUGGCAAGAAAUAUUAUUUCCUUUCAUGCUUUGUACAAACAAGGGUUUACCUUUUCAUUUAAUAAUGAAGUUGGUUCUAUAGAUGUUUUCUAUAAUAAUGUCUUUUAUUUUAAAGCAUUACCUUGUGAUGGUGUGUAUGAAGCUGUAUCUGUUGUAGAUAACUUGGGAAAUAAUGUUUUGUGUAUUGAUUCUACUAAUAAUAACUUGGAUAAAGCAUCUUUAUGGCAUUGUCGUCUUGGACAUAUAAGCAAGAAACGCAUAGGCCAACUCCAAAAGGAUGGAGUCUUGGAGUCGUUUGACCUAAAGUCAGAUGAUAGUUGCGAAUCAUGCUUACUUGGAAAAAUGACAAAGUCACCCUUCACAGGUUCGUGUGAGAGGGGUGAAGGUUUGUUGGACCUUAUACACACGGAUGUGUGUGGACCAUUCAAACAUGCCACAAGGGAUGCUAAUCGUUAUUAUUUGACUUUUACUGAUGAUUAUAGUAGAUAUGGAUAUGUCUACUUGAUCAAGCAUAAGUCAGAGACUUUCGAGAGGUUUAAGGAAUUUAAACAGGAAGUCGAGAAUCAAUUGGGCAGGAACAUUAAGAUGCUUCGAUCCGAUCGUGGUGGUGAGUAUCUUAGUUCAGAGUUCCUCGACUAUCUAAGGGAAUGUGGGAUAGUCUCACAAUUGACACCUCCCAGGACACCACAGUUGAAUGGUGUGGCUGAGAGGCGUAAUCGAACCUUGUUAGAUAUGGUUCGUUCCAUGAUGAGUCGAGCUACGCUACCAAUCUCAUUCUGGGGGUAUGCCUUAGAGACUGCCGCCCAUAUUCUUAAUCUAGUCCCUACAAAGAAAGUUGCCAAAACUCCUCACGAGAUGUGGACUGGUAAAGUACCUAAACUAGACCACAUCAAGAUUUGGGGUUGCGAGGCUUUCGUGAGACGCGAGACUCAUGAUAAGCUCGAACCUCGAAGCGAGAGGUGUAUUUUCAUCGGUUACCCACAGCGAUCCUUUGGUUACCUCUUCUACAGACCUAGUGACAAUGUGGUCUUUGUAGCAAGAAGAGGAGUCUUUCGAGAAAGAGAGUUUAUAAGCCAAGGAGACAGUGGGAGGCAAAUUGAUCUUGAAGAAAUUCAAGAAUCAAGCGGUGAAGGAACUUCAAACUCUAGCCCUCAACUUGAGGAGGAAACUCCUGUUGAGCCAAUUGACAAAUCUGUACCUCUGAGACGUUCCACGAGAGUUAGGAGUGCACCUGAGCAUUACUAUGGAUUCCAUAUUACUGCAGAAGGUGAGACACUUAUUAGUGAUGAGACACUAGUAAGUCAAGAUGACCCUAACAGCUACGAGGAAGCCAUGGCAGGCCCCGAGUCUGCUAAAUGGAAAGAGGCUAUGGAUAGCGAGAUACAAUCCAUGUAUGACAAUCAAGUUUGGAACUUGGUUGAAAAUGUACCAGGUCGUAAGACAGUAGGGUGCAAAUGGGUCUUCAAGAAGAAGACCGACAUGGAUGGUAAAGUACACACUUAUAAGGCUAGACUGGUUGCAAAGGGCUUCUCUCAAAUUCCUGGAGUGGAUUAUGAUGAGACCUUUUCUCCGGUAGCCAAGAUUAAGUCUAUUCGGGUUCUGUUAGCCAUAGCUGCAUUUCAUGACUAUGAAAUAUGGCAGAUGGAUGUCAAAACCGCUUUCCUUAAUGGAAAGUUGGCUGAAGAUGUUUACAUGAGUCAGCCAGAGGGUUUUGUCAGCAACGAGUACCCUAAUAGAGUGUGUAAGCUUGAGAAAUCCAUUUAUGGAUUGAAGCAAGCACCUCGCAGAUGGAAUCUUUGCUUUGAUGAAAAGGUCAAGGAAUUUGGCUUUUCUAGGAGUGAAGAUGAAUCUUGUGUGUAUGUCAAGGCUAGUGGGAGUAUAGUUAGCUUUUUGGUAUUGUAUGUGGAUGACAUACUACUCAUAGGAAACGACAUUCCAACCCUGCAGGAAGUAAAGUCCUGGCUUGGGAAGUGUUUCGCUAUGAAGGACCUUGGUGAAGCUGCCUAUAUUCUAGGGAUAAGAAUCUUGAGAGAUCGGAGUAAAAGACUAAUUGGACUUAGUCAGAGUACCUACUUGGAUAAGGUGCUGAAGAGAUUCAGCAUGCAGGAUUCCAAGAAAGGAGAGUUACCCAUCCAGAGUAACACCAGAUUGAGUAAGACACAAAGCCCUAGCACUGAGGCUGAGAUAGCAGAAAUGAGUCGAACACCUUACGCUUCGGCUGUAGGAUCGAUCAUGUAUGCUAUGACGUGUACUCGACCCGAUGUAGCUUUUGCCUUGAGCAUGGUUAGCAGGUAUCAGGCGAACCCUGGCAAGGCACACUGGACUGCGGUAAAGAAUAUCCUCAAGUACCUACGGAGGACUAAGGACUGGGUCCUUACCCUCGGUGGGAGUGAUGACUUGAGAGUUGUAGGGUAUAGUGAUGCUAGCUUCCAGACUGAUAGGGAUAAUUUCCGCUCUCAGUCGGGCUGGGUCUUUACCCUAAACGGAGGAGCAAUUUCUUGGAAGAGUUCCAAGCAAGAGACAGUGGCAGAUUCUACUUGUGAAUCAGAGUAUAUUGCAGCUAGUGAAGCAGCAAAGGAGGCGAUAUGGCUGAAGAACUUCAUUGGAGACCUUGGAGUUGUACCAGCUAUUAAAGAGCCAAUGGAAAUUUUCUGUGAUAGUGAAAGUGCUGUUGCCUUAGCCAAGGAACCAAGGGAUCAUGGGAGAUCCAGACACAUCGACAGAAAAUACCAUUUCAUUAGACAUCGGAUCGAAGAAGGACUCCUCGUGGCAAAGAGGGUAUCAUCGGAUGAGAACCCAGCAGAUCCCCUCACGAAGGGACUGAGUAGGGUUAAGCAUCUCCAGCAUGCUCGGAGCAUAGGGCUGAAGGAUGAUAUAAGUUUUAGUAGUUAGAUAACCCAGAAAUUUGUAAAGUGUAAUUGACAUUUGAUGAUGAAUAAAAGGUGUUUUAUUUAUGAGUAAAGUGUUGCUAUCUCUUGUCGAUCGUUUACUAUAUUUCUUUUGCAUGUUUUGACUUCCAGAAUAAUUUUGUUUGGUAUAACAUAUUAUUCAAACCUCCACAGUCGGUCAUAUGUUGGAAGUAGAUAUGAAUCAAGACUGUCAUGUUUGGUUGUAGAGGUCUUGGACAAGGCUACAACAAUCAUGAGUGCUCAUAAGUUCUGAGCAUUGGACUCAACCCACGCUCACUGGAAUCACUUCAUGGAAUUCUAUCUCGAGUGAUCGUGAGACGGUAAUAUCAUAUAAGUCUUCAAACCUAGAGAUAUGAUUUGUUACUUACAAGUUGGUUAUGCAUUGACUGUACGAAACCGCAUUGGUAACUCGAUGUUAUAAAACGUACUUUUGUGUGUAAUUCAAUGAGUGGUAGAACAAACAUAUGAGUCGAAGUUUAUCUGUUCCUUCUUGGAUUAGAAGCUGAUAUCUGGGCCCCUCGAUGAUUUUGUUUUGACCCAUGUACCGGGCCCGGUCAGAACUAAGUUGAUGUGUUCAAUUAAGUUCUAUGUCAAACAAAUCGGAAAUCGGGAAACAAAUGCUGGACAAUAAGCAAGACAAUGUUCCAUGUAUUUGUCCGGCUGAUAUCUAGAACGGAGGAUUAUAUGAUCACUUAUCUUAAAUGGCGUACCAUCAUCUUCUCAGUUCCGAGAGACCUUGAAAGAGCUACGAUUGCCGGUCGGUUCCUGAAGUACUAGAGAUAUAGUUAUUAGACUUAUCCAAGUGGGAGACUGUUGGAUAAGGUGUCUAAGUCCAUAACUAUUUCGGGCUUGUACUUGACCCGACCCGGCAUGGUCCAUUUGGGUUGCAUGGCACCAUGCAAUUGGAUAGACUAAAUGAGAGAAAUAACACUUGGAGAUUAUUAAUAUAUUAUAAGUUCUAAUAUAUUAAUAAUAUUAUUUGAUUAGUUGAUCAAAGAAUUAAUUUGGAAUUAAUUAAGUGAUCAAAGGAUAACUAAUUAAAUAUAUGGGUUGAUUAUGUAAAUCAUCCAUAUCUUGUAUAGUGGGCUAAGAGGCUCCAUGGAUUAUCAAGUUGGGUUCUACCCAUAGGAUGCUCCAUGGAUGUUCCAUGGGAGUUACAAACCCAUGGGUCAUGGAAAUGAAGAGUCAUGACACAUUAGGGUUUACAUGGUGUAACCCUAGAUGUGUCAACACUAUAUAAGAAGCAUAUUCUCCACCAAAAUCGGCUACACUAAGAAACUAGAGGGCUUGGCCGAUUUUGAGAAGUGUGUGUUAUCUCAAGAGUCUUUCCAAGAGCAUUUGGUGUUGUGUGAAGCAUUUGAGGCAUCACACUUGGGGUGCUAGGCUCAUAAGGUUUCAAGGAACACAAGCAACAACAAGGUAAGUUAUUCUAUCUAUGAUUCAAGUUAAAAUUGUUCCCCAUGUAUGCUAGAUAGGAAUAUAACCUUGGAAUUCAACUUUGCAUGAUAAUUAGACAAACAUAGAUCCA
rnacentral:lncRNA from 1 species